rnacentral:rRNA from 1 species
CCGCCGAAGGUGGGGUAGAUGAUUGGGGUGAAGUCGUAACAAGGUAGCCGUAUCGGAAGGUGCGGCUGGAUCACCUCCUUUCU